UGCCAGCAGCCGCGGUAAUACGGAGGGGGCUAGCGUUGUUCGGAAUUACUGGGCGUAAAGCGCGCGUAGGCGGUUUUUCAAGUUGGGCGUGAAAGCCCGGGGCUCAACCCCGGAACUGCGCUCAAAACUGGACGACUAGAGUCCGGGAGAGGGUGGUGGAAUUCCCAGUGUAGAGGUGAAAUUCGUAGAUAUUGGGAAGAACACCAGAGGCGAAGGCGACCACCUGGACCGGUACUGACGCUGAGGUGCGAAAGCGUGGGGAGCAAACAGGAUUAGAUA
rnacentral:rRNA from 1 species